rnacentral:lncRNA from 1 species
UUUUAUUUAUUUAUUCAUGAGAGACACAGAGAGAGGCAGAGACACAGGCAGAGGGAGAAGCAGGCUCCCUGCAGGGAGCCCGACGUGGGACUCGAUCCCGGGACCCCAGGGUCACAGCCUGGGCUAAAGGCAGGCACUCAGCUGCUGAGCCCCUGGGGACCCCAGAAAGGAGCCUAUUUUAAGGAUUAGUGGCUAAGAUCGUGAAUUCUGGAACUGGUGUGUCUGAGUUUGAGUCCCAACACUGCCUCUACUGUGCGACCUCGGGCAAGUUAUUUAGCUCCUGUGCCCUGACUCCUCGCUGGGAAAAUAGGGCUCGUGAGCACAUGUAGUGCUCGAGGUUCUGUGGGUGACCGAACGCAACACACGCAGGUAUUUAGGUUGGGUUCAGUGCAGAGUAAGGCCUGUACGAGUAUCAGGGCUCAUUAUGACUUAGGGUUCUUGACUGACUACAUUCUAGAACAUACGGGGAUGCCAGCUGACAUGUUCCUGAGAGAUGCUAUAGCAGCGGCUUUCUAUGGUGCUGUGAAGCAGCUGGGAAGAGACGGAGUGAAAGUCUUUGGAAGGAAAUAA